GGAAGCCCUCCAGGAGGGGGCGGGGCUUGACACAGGGCAGGCAGGCGGUGAGCUCUGGAAGAGGUGGGCAGGCGUCUGGGCCAAGGACCACAGUGGUUCCACAUUCCAUGGGACUGCAGUGGGGGCAAUGGGUGGGUUCCCCAGGCCUGGCUUUGGGGUUGAAUGAGGACACAGUGGCAGGGAGCUGCCUCAGUCCCGUUGGCACCGGAGCCUUGCUGGGGGGAUAGGCUGCCUCUCAGGGUCCCACACCUGAAGCACCCUGCCCAGCCGCCCACCAGCUCAACCUUGUGGGGACCUCAGGACUCCUGGUGGCAGCAUCUGUGACAUGUGUCUGUGUGGUUCUGCGGCUGGUGGGUGCCCAAGAGCACACUGGGGAGGGCUUCUGGAGUCGUCUGAGCCCAGCCCAGCUUCCACUGCAGCUGCAAGCCACUGUGGACAAGCACCGAUGAGCUGUGCCCGAGGAUAAGGGGGGCUGCUGGGCUGACGAGGCACAGCUGGCAGUAGGUGGGGAAGGGAGCCCGUGUGGUUGCGGGCUGGUUCCUCAGUUUCCCCCCUGUGGCAUGGCCGCUGCGCAGCAUUGCGGGUGGUUGGAAUGGGGCCCAAAGCCUCAGCAUUCAGACAAGGGCUCCUGUGAGCCGGGUGUGACUGAGAGACUCCUCGGCUGGCACAGGCCCAGGGCCCAUGACUCAGGCCCCCACAGAGCAGCUUUUGGUUGGGGAGGGCACAGGACCCCUCUGAGCCUGAUCUCCAUGAAGACCGCCCCAACCAGAACAAGCUGCUGUGUACGCAGAGCCUGCUAUGGCAAGGGGGCCUGCCACUGUCCCUGGUGUUGGCCACAGAGUCAAGAGCAGGUCAGGAAGGAGAGAAAAGGGAGAGGGAGCGAGGUCAGUGUCCUGAAACGAUCCGAGUCGCACAGGACAGAGCCGCGGCUCGUCUCAGUCGGUGCAGGAAGAGCAGCAGGAGCCCUGGGCUCUGCGUGGGGGCAGCUGCGGGGACCACAGCACAGUCCCGAUCGGUGGGAGAGGACUCAACACCUGCAUUCAACACUCUCCUGGGGGGCUAGCCCAGGCGACCAGGCAGGAGAACCGCGUAGAAAACAUCAUGUUGGAAAGAGUCCAGGGCCCUGGUCUGAAUGUGGGUGCCCCAGGCUGAAAUCGUGCCCACCGGGCGAUGGCACAUGGAGGGGGCCUCAGGAGAUGAGGCCGGGCCUCAAGAGCUAGACCUGGGCCCUGAUAGAAGAAGCUCAGGGCUGGGGAGUAGCUCGGUGGUAAAGCACCCCUGGGUUCAAUCCCUAGUACUGCCGGACAAAAUUGAGGUCCAAGAGAGGUCCCUGCUUGAUUUCUGUCAGAAUUUCGAUUUAUUGAUUGAUUGAUUUAGUACUGAGGAUUGAACUUAGGGUCACUUUACUACUGAGCUACAUCUGAGACACCCCCCCCCUUUUUUGAGACAGGGUCUUACUAAAUCACCCAGGUUGCUCUUGAGCAGACAGUCUUCCUGCCUCAGCCUCCUGGGUCACUG
rnacentral:lncRNA from 1 species